rnacentral:rRNA from 1 species
AAUGAACGUUGGCGGCAUGGAUUAGGCAUGCAAGUCGGGGGAAUCCCAGUAAUGGGGGAACCGGCGUAAGGGGCAGUAAGGCAUGGGUACCUACCUUGGGGUUCGGGAUAGCCAUCAGAGAUGGUGGGUAAUACCGGAUGACGUCGUGAGACCAAAGAUUCAUCGCCCUUAGAGGGGCCCAUGUGAUAUUAGCUAGUUGGUGGGGUAACGGCCCACCAAGGCGAAGAUGUCUAGCGGGUGUGAGAGCACGACCCGCGCCACUCGCACUGAGACACUGGCGAGACACCUACGGGUGGCUGCAGUCGAGGAUCUUCGGCAAUGAGCGCAAGCUUGACCGAGCGAUGCCGCGUGAGCGAUGAAGGCCUUCGGGUUGUAAAGCUCUUUAGUGGGGGAGAAAAGCCGCAAGGUGUGAUCUAUCCCAAAAAUAAGCACGGGCUAAGUUCGUGCCAGCCGCCGCCGUAA